CAAGGAUGGGGCUACGGCCGAUCAGGUUGUUGGUGGGGUAAUGGCUCACCAAGCCUAUAACCGGUACGGGCCGUGAGAGCGGGAGCCCGGAGAUGGAUACUGAGACAAGGAUCCAGGCCCUACGGGGCGCAGCAGGUACGAAACCUCCGCAAUGUGCGAAAGCAUGACGAGGUCACUCCGAGUGCUGCUCGUUGAGGGUGGCUUUUAGUCGGUGUAAGAAGCUUGGAGAAUAAGGGGAGGGCAAGCCUGGUGUCAGCCGCCGCGGUAAUACCAGCUCCUCGAGUGGUCGGGACGAUUAUUGGGCCUAAAGCGUCCGUAGCCGGUCUGGUAAGUCUUCAGUUAAAGCCGAUGGCUCAACUGUCGGAUUGCUGGAGAUACUGGAUGGCUAGGAGGCGAAAGAGGCCGAUGGUACUCCUGGGGUAGGGGUAAAAUCUUAUGAAUCCCAGGAGGACCACCAGUGGCGAAGGCGAUCCGGCCUAGUACGCGCUCGACGGUGACGGAUGAAAGCUGGGGGAGCGAACCGGAUUAGAUACCCG
rnacentral:rRNA from 1 species